rnacentral:tRNA from 1 species
UGGGGUGUAGCUCAGUGGUAGUAGAGUGCUUGGCUAGCAUGCAUAGAGCUUUGGGUUCUAUCCCCAGCACCUCAA